UUUAGAAGAGCGAUUCAUCUUCAGUUCUACUUUCAUGGCAAUCCUGGGUGCUUCAAUCGGUGUAACCGUCUCUAUUGCUGGACUCAUCUUUGGGUUGAUCUGCAAAAGAAAACUUCUUGGGUGAGAGACUAAUAUAAACGUGUGUGUGUGUCUAUUUUGUGGUGCACUAACUCUGAUGACUUCUAAUUUUAAAGGUCAAAGUCAGCCGCACCACAGUCAUCUGUAUGUGAGACUCACGACUCUGUUGAAGACGACCCAGAUGACCCGUAUACCAGCCUCCAGCAACCAGCCGCUGACCUUUACCAGACCAUCUGCCACUCAAGAAGCUCUAAAGACCAGGAAGUAGACGGAGGAGACUCUGAUCAAAGUCACCAGGACACUUAUGAAUUUAUGACACCGCAAGCAGCACCAGGACUGUGACUUGUGUUUGCACUUGUUUAGGAUUCCUUUAAUAAGAUGUGAUGUAAGUAGAUGUUGAUGAGCUGAAGGAGCUUUUGAGUCACAUUUUAUUCUCUUGUACUCGUUUGAACAUACACACACCUUGUUAUGAGUUGGGGCCUUUCUGAUUGUCAUUGUUGUGGUACAAAGUGAAGAAUUUUGGUUCUUUUGGCCAUGAUUAUUAUCAAUGUUGUUAUUUUCAUAGUUAUUAAUAAUCAUGUUGAUUUUUCACGUUGAACUGACCGUGUUUCUCUACCUGACUGGUCUCACACCAGUGGACAGUGGGAACCACACCUGUGUGUGUUCAAGUCAUGGUGAGACCGUUACCCUCCAUCUGAAUAUCACUGUGGAAGAUGUUUCAGAGGAAGGAGAGAGAGAGAGCGGCGUGACGUCACACACGUGGGUUCUAAACGUGUUUAUCGCUGCAACAACAGUCAUUUCUAUAACUGCAGUUAUCUUUGGGUUGAUCUACAGGGUAACAAGACAUAGAAGACAAACACAACCGCUGCGCAGUCCUCAAAACAUGGAGCCGGAAGCCAUCGAGCCGUACAGCACCUUCAUGUGGAGGGACAGCGUGCUUUAUUCAACUGUCGGCCCACACAACUGUCCCAACAACAGGAACCAAUCAAACACGUCCACCACAGAGGACACACGUCCAGAGGCUCUUCUGUAGAGCUCG